rnacentral:rRNA from 1 species
GUGGACCUACGGGAGGCAGCAGUGAGGAAUAUUGGUCAAUGGGAGAGAUCCUGAACCAGCCAAGCCGCGUGAGGGAAGACGGCCCUAUGGGUUGUAAACCUCUUUUGUCGGAGAACAAAACCCGGGACGAGUCCCGGACUGCGUGUAUCCGAAGAAAAAGCAUCGGCUAACUACGUGCCAGCAGCCGCGGUAAUACGUAGGUGGCGAGCGUUAUCCGGAAUGAUUGGGCGUAAAGGGUGCGUAGGCGGCCUGCUAAGUCUGGAGUGAAAGGUACCGGCUCAACCGGUACAGGCUC